GGGGGGGGGGGGGUGUAAUUUAACAUUCCUAUUGUGUUAGUCUCCAUCAGGUUUUGUUGCCUUCAAUGUAUGUUGCAACUUGCCAUCGAGUGACCAGUCCCUUUCAUAGUGCAUUGUAAUGUCCAUUCUACUUAUUCUAAUUCUACUGUUAGUGCAGGCCUCUUAUGCUGCCAUGGGAAAGGAGCAGAUGGAAGCUCUCUUCAGUUCACAGUCCACUGCUGUCCACAAGCUCUCACCUGGGAGAGGGAACAAAUGACAAUGUUGUUAAAUGAACCACUCAUAUACCAUAUAAUCCAAUUUUAAGGAUCUAACUUUGAUUGUGUCUAAUAGACCUGUUGAUUAAAACAGUAUCAGAAUGUUAUGGUCAUGAAAGAACAGAAAUCUUAUAAUACAACAUGCUCUCAUAACCAAAACCAAGUUCAUCUGGGUCCUUCCCAGACUUUUUAUGAUUUAUAGCCUUAUUUAUCAACAGUCUCCAAGGUAGCAUUUCACAAUAUAACCUGUUAUUGAUAGCACUGUGACUUAGAAAAUAUUAUAUUGUUAAUACUUAAAAAGUUGUCAAUAUAGAUAUAAAAUAUUUUUAAAGGUAUGAGUCUCACCAAUUCUGAACAUCUCCAGACAAGCCUGCUUGUCUGUCUGUGUGUCUGGGUGACCGGGCAUCCAGUCACUGUAGCCCCAGGCGGACCCGUCGGUCCACUCUGACUGCUUAUCCUGCAGGGGUCACAACACACACACACAUACACACCAUUAAAACUCUUGGAAAAUGGCUUGGUUACUAUUAGACAUUCUGAUUGAACAAGAUUGAGAGGGUCAUGGAAUACUGACCUUCACGACUCUUGGUGGCCCUGGUCACCAUGGAGACCGGGCGGGAGUGCAGGUCGCCGUUGGUUACGGAGGCCAGGUGUCAGUGAGGGGAGAGAAUUCUGCAGGAGGACUGGACGCACACACACACACACAAAUAUUAGGACAGCUGUUUGUUUAAGAGAAAAGCGAAUAUGACUGACUGGGUGUAUAUUUCACCUCUGCCUCACUGAAGGUCAUUAGUGUGGGGUUGAACUGAUAGCAGUGGCCAUCGAUGACCUCACCAACACACUCUUUCUCUGAAUGAAUCUCAGCCUUAGCACUCACCAGCCUGCCAUCUACAGGGAGAAGGACAGCAAGCAUACUCCAUCAGUACACAAACACACACAAACUGUACACACACACACACAUACUGUACACACAAACACUCUCUCACCCUGAGGUGUCAGUUUCAUGCUUCUCUCCAUCUCUCCAACAGGCCUAAUGAUGCGUCCACUCCUGAUGUCCACCAGAGUUUUCUGGGAGUUCUCGGUUCCCUGUCUGAACUCAUCCACAGAGCCGGUGUUCAGGUUCAUAAUGAAUCGUCUGGAGAGCUCUGUUCCCUGUCUACGUUCCUCCACUGGGACACUCCGGACCUCAUCCUCGACCAGCCUCACAUCUACAGGGAGAAGGAGAGGGCCACUGAAUAAGCAAUUCAAGUGGACAGGCUUUUAGAUAUGGAUAUGAAUAUAUAUAGGCCUGAUGAUGCGUCCGCUCCUGAUGUCCACCAGAGUUUUCUGGGAGUUCUCGGUUCCCUGUCUGAACUCAUCCACAGAGGAAGGAGUGUACACUGGAGAGGAGAUGAGCAGGGGAGAAAGACAAUAUAUAAAACCCCAAAUGUAAAAAAUAAAUCAAAUUUCUGGAUAAUGUAACAUUUCAAUGCCCUGUACCUGGUGCCACUCUCCUGUCCAUCUCACUGAUGUGUUCCUUGACGAGGCCGGUGUUCAGGUCCAUGAUGAAGCGUCUGGAGGGCUCUGUUCCCUGUCUGCGUUCCUCCACUGGGAGACUCCCGGGCAGAACAUCAGCCCUCACCCAUCCUCCCACUCUCCUCUGGACUGGGACCUCCAUAGGCUCUGGAUUGAAAAUACAUGGGUUUGAUGAUGCGUCCGCUCCUGAUGUCCACCAGAGUCUUCUGGGAUUUCUCGGUUCCCUGUCUGAACUCAUCCACAGAGGGAGGAACGGACACUAGAGAGAGAGAGAAAUAUACAGACACAACAUCUGUUACACUGUUUUCAGCAAUAUCAGUUACACUGUUUUCAGCAAUAUCAGUUACUCUGUUACACUGUUUUCAGCAAUAUCAGUUACACUGUUUUCAGCAAUAUCAGUUACACUGUUUUCACCCAUAGCUGUAACACUGUUUUCACCCAUAGCUGUAACACUGUUUUCACCCAUAUCUGUU